UACGAAGGGGGGCUAGCGUUGCUCGGAAUGACUGGGCGUAAAGGGCGCGUAGGCGGAUGGCACAGUCAGAUGUGAAAUUCCCGGGCUUAACCUGGGGGCUGCAUUUGAUACGUGUGAUCUAGAGUGAGGAAGAGGGUCGUGGAAUUCCCAGUGUAGAGGUGAAAUUCGUAGAUAUUGGGAAGAACACCGGUGGCGAAGGCGGCGCCUGGUCCUUUACUGACGCUGAGGCGCGAAAGCGUGGGGAGCAAACAGG
rnacentral:rRNA from 1 species